AUGGCGGUCAGCAAGAACAAGCGCUUGAUGAAAGGUGGCAAGAAGGGAGCUAAGAAGAAAGUGGUUGAUCCAUUUUCUAAGAAAGACUGGUACGAUGUGAAAGCUCCAGCCAUGUUCAAUAUUAGGAACAUCGGGAAGACGCUAGUCACGAGGACUCAAGGAACCAAAAUUGCCUCUGAUGGACUCAAGGGUCGAGUGUGUGAAGUGAGCCUUGCCGAUCUACAGAAUGAUAAAGUUGCACUUAGAAAAUUCAGGCUAAUCACUGAGGACGUUCAGGGCAAAAACUGUCUGACUGACUUCCAUGGGAUGGAUCUUACCCGGGACAAAAUGUGCUCCAUGGUCAAGAAGUGGCAGACCAUGAUUGAAGCUCACGUUGAUGUCAAGACGACAGAUGGCUAUUUGCUCCGACUUUUCUGUGUUGGCUUCACUAAGAAACGCAACAACCAGAUAAGAAAGACCUCCUAUGCGCAGCACCAGCGAGUCCGCCAGAUCCGGAAGAAGAUGAUGGAAAUCGUGACCUGAGAGGUGCAGACCAAUGACUUGAAGGAAGUAGUUCAUAAACUGAUUCCAGACAGCAUUGGGAAAGACAUAGAAAAGGCUCGCCAGUCCAUUUAUCCUCUUCAUGAUGUCUUUGUUAGAAAAGGAAAAAUGCUGAAGAAACCCAAGUUUGAACUGGGCAAGCUCAUGGAGCUACAUGGGGAAGGCAGCAGCUCUGGCAAAGCAGCUGGAGACGAGACGGGUGCUAAGGUUGAGCGAGCUGAUGGAUAUGAACCACCAGUCCAAGAAUCAGUGUAAAAUCCAGAUUUUUAAUAGUGACAAAUAAAAAGUCCUAUUUGUG